rnacentral:rRNA from 1 species
UACGUAGGGUGCGAGCGUUAAUCGGAAUUACUGGGCGUAAAGCGUGCGCAGGCGGCCGAGCAAGUCGAGUGUGAAAGCCCCGAGCUUAACUUGGGAACUGCGCUCGAAACUACUUGGCUAGAGUGUGGCAGAGGGAGGUGGAAUUCCACGUGUAGCGGUGAAAUGCGUAGAGAUGUGGAGGAACACCGACGGCGAAGGCAGCCUCCUGGGCCAACACUGACGCUCAUGCACGAAAGCGUGGGGAGCAAACAGG